UGCCAGCAGUCGCGGUUAUACCAUUAAUACAAAUAAAUUUUUUUAGUAUUAAUUAAAUUAAAUUUAUUAAUAAUAAUAAAAUUAAAUAUAUUAAGUGAAAUUUUAUAUUUAAAUUAUUAUAUAAAAAUGUAAUUGAGGUUAAAAAAUUUUAAUAAAAAACUAGGAUUAGAUACCCUAUUAUUUAAAAUGUAAAUAAAUUGCUAAAGUAGUAAUAGUUAUGUUCUUGAAACUUAAAAAAUUUGGCGGUAUUUUAGUCUAUCUAGAGGAACCUGUUUUUUAAUCGAUAAUCCACGAUGGACCUUACUUAAAUUUGUAAUCAGUUUAUAUACCGUCGUUAUCAGAAUAUUUUAUAAGAAUAAUAAUAUUCAAUAAUUUUAAUAAAAAUUUAUAUCAGAUCAAGGUGUAGCUUAUAUUUAAGUAAUAAUGGGUUACAAUAAAUUUAUUUAUAUGAAUAAAAUUAUGAAAAAAUUUUUGAAAGUGGAUUUAGUAGUAAAAUUAUAAAGAUUAAUAAUUUGAUUUUAGCUCUAAAAUAUGUACACAUCGCCCGUCGCUCUUAUUAUUAAGGUAAGAUAAGUCGUAACAUAGUAGAUGUACUGGAAAGUGUAUCUAGAAUGA
rnacentral:rRNA from 1 species